AUUGAACGCUGGCGGCAUGCCUUACACAUGCAAGUCGAACGGCAGCACGGGUGCUUGCACCUGGUGGCGAGUGGCGCACGGGUGAGUAAUACAUCGGAACAAGUCCCGUAGUGGGGGAUAGCCCGGCGAAAGCCGGAUUAAUACCGCAUACGAUCUACGGAUGAAAGCGGGGGACCUUCGGGCCUCGCGCUAUAGGGUUGGCUCAUGGCUGAUUAGCUAGUUGGUGGGGUAAAGGCCUACCAAGGCGACGAUCAGUAGCUGGUCUGAGAGGACGACCAGCCACACUGGGACUGAGACACGGCCCAGACUCCUACGGGAGGCAGCAGUGGGGAAUUUUGGACAAUGGGCGAAAGCCUGAUCCAGCAAUGCCGCGUGUGUGAAGAAGGCCUUCGGGUUGUAAAGCACUUUUGUCCGGAAAGAAAUCCUUGGCCCUAAUACGGUCGGGGGAUGACGGUACCGGAAGAAUAAGCACCGGCUAACUACGUG
rnacentral:rRNA from 1 species